AGGUAAACAUUUCUGCAGUGAAGCAUUUAUCAUUACUAGCUUUUUUUUUGGUGUGUGGUAGUUCCAGGGCUUGAACUCAGGGUCUGAUGCAUGAGCCACUCAUGCUCUGCUUUUCUAGUUCUCAUCACUCCAUUGUAUAACCAGUACUCCAAAACAUUCCUGCCAUCUAGCUGUAACUUAGCUCCUUGCACCAAACUUUCCCCAUCCCGCCCACUUGUCUUUAGUCCCAGCUACUUGGAGGGGCAGUGGCAGUAGCAUCAUUUUGCUCAGCCGGGCACUGGUAGCUCACAUCUGUAAUUCUAGCUACUCAGGAAGCUAAGAUGUGAGGAUCAUAGUUCAAAGCCAGCCUAGGCAGAUAAAUCAGAGACUCUGUAACUGUCUGAAAAUGGGUGGAAGUGGGUUGGGUGGUUAAAGUGGCAGAGCACCAGCCUUGAUCAAAAGUGCCAAGCAAGAGCUUCAGGUUCGGAGUGGAAGUCCCUGUUUAGAUAAAGAAAAAAAAGCUUGCUCAACUGUCCCAAUAAUCUAGGUUUUUAAAAAAAUGACCAGUACUGAUAGUAGGAAUUAUUUAUUAGAUAUACUAGGAAAAGAAAGAUCAAGGUUAACUGCCAACUUGGGGGCUUUCUCUUACCAUUUUUUUUUUCAGUGUAAGUCCUGGGGCUUGAACUCAG